rfam:Daphnia magna strain Xinb3 scaffold01067, whole genome shotgun sequence.
CGCUCUCAGCCUGAUUCUUGCUCGACCUAUGCUUCUAUCAAUGGGCGAGGUGAGCAAAGUUUCAGGUGCGUAAGCGG